AGAGCGAACGCUGGCGGCAGGCCUAAUACAUGCAAGUCGAACGGACCCUUCGGGGUUAGUGGCGGACGGGUGAGUAACACGUGGGAACGUGCCCUUUGGUUCGGAACAACUCAGGGAAACUUGAGCUAAUACCGAAUGUGCCCUUCGGGGGAAAGAUUUAUCGCCAUUGGAGCGGCCCGCGUCUGAUUAGCUAGUUGGUGAGGUAAAGGCUCACCAAGGCGACGAUCAGUAGCUGGUCUGAGAGGAUGAUCAGCCACACUGGGACUGAGACACGGCCCAGACUCCUACGGGAGGCAGCAGUAGGGAAUCUUGCGCAAUGGGCGAAAGCCUGACGCAGCCAUGCCGCGUGAAUGAUGAAGGUCUUAGGAUUGUAAAAUUCUUUCAGCGGGGACGAUAAUGACGGUACCGCAGAAGAAGCCCGGCUAACUUCGUGCCAGCAGCCGC
rnacentral:rRNA from 1 species